AUUGAACGCUGGCGGCAGGCCUAACACAUGCAAGUCGAACGAGUGGCGGACGGGUGAGUAAUGUCUGGGAAACUGCCUGAUGGAGGGGGAUAACUACUGGAAACGGUAGCUAAUACCGCAUACCAUCAGAUGUGCCCAGAUGGGAUUAGCUAGUAGGUGGGGUAACGGCUCACCUAGGCGACGAUCCCUAGCUGGUCUGAGAGUAUGACCAGCCAGACUGGAACUGAGACACGGUCCAAACUCCUACGGGAGGCGGCAGUGGAGAAUAUUGCACGAUGGGAGGAGGCCUGAUGCAGCCAUGCCGCGUGUGUGAAGAAGGCCUUCGGGUUGUAAAGCACUUUCAGCGGGGAGGCGUUACCCGCAGAAGAAGCACCGGCUAACUCCGUGCCAGCAGCCGCGGUAAUUC
rnacentral:rRNA from 1 species